CACCGCGGUUAUACGAGAGGCCCAAGUUGAAAGAUGCCGGCGUAAAGCGUGGUUAAGUAAAAUUUAAACUAAAGUUAAACAUCUUCAAAACUGUUAUACGUAUUCGAAGACGGGAACCUCAACCACGAAAGUAACUUUAUACAAACUGAACCCACGAAAGCUAUGACA
rnacentral:rRNA from 1 species